AAGAAAAAAACACUAAAAAGAAAAGCUAUUGGCUGACAAGUGUCAGCCGCCAUUUUAUUAUCCCGUUCCUUUUCCCAUUCCCAUGCCAAUGCCCAUGGCCUCUGCGUCCUCUCCCUUAUCAGUUCCCUUGAAACCACAGAACUCUCCAAAAUACAUCUGCUUUAAGACACUUAAAAUUAGCUGUUCGUCAGCCACGACCCAAUCUCAAUCAGCUAAGCGACAUCUUCUCACCCUUAUCUCCGAUCAAGACCGAGGCCUUAAAACCCAGAAAGACCCUGAAAAGCGAGCCACAAUUAUCCAAGCCAUCGACGCCAUUGCUGAAACGGGCAAAGGUACGGUCACUACUGGUAAUUCACUAUCCGCCACCUGGCGGUUGCUCUGGACCACGGAGAAAGAGCAGCUCUUUAUUAUAGAGAAGGCGCCGUUGUUUGGUACCCAAGCUGGUGACGUUUUGCAGGUGAUAGAUGUUGAGAAAAAGACUCUAAAUAACGUGAUCACUUUCCCACCUGAUGGGGUUUUCUUUGUCCGGUCAAAUAUUGAGAUUGCUUCGUCUCAGAGAGUGAAUUUUAGAUUUACGAGUGCGGUUCUUAGAGGGAAAAAUUGGGAAAUUCCUUUGCCGCCAUUUGGACAGGGUUGGUUCGAGUCUGUAUAGCUUGAUGUCGAUAUUCUGAGUAGUGAUGGAUAUUAGAGGAGAUUAUUUAAUUGUGGACCGUGCGCCAUAUGCGUGGAAAGAAUGAAUGUGCUUCACUGCACUGUCAUCAUGAUUGGAAGGCUUUGUGAGUUCACUUGUAAUAAAUCCGAUUAAUAAACUCAAACUGGACUAUGGGGAUACUUUUUUUAGUUCCUGGAUGACAAUCUAGCCCAAACCCAACUGCAUCAGUUUGAUUACGUAUUCAUUUCAACAACUCGGCGCCAACCCUGUUUCAUAAUAUGUGGCUUUGUGAAGUCUUGUGGAAUAUGACACCCUUUUGUUUACUGGUUCUAUAAUUUUGGUGCUGUAUGUUGGUCAAUCAAGGAGUAGAUAUAUGUUAGUAACUAAGCUGUGCAUGACUUUGUACUUUUUCCUCUACUGCUCUCUGACUCGAAGCGACCAAAAGCUUGCCCAUCUCACCGUCAAACCUGUACAGAUGGAAAAAAAGAUGUUUCCAUGUUCCAAUCUGUUUACCUAGAUGGUGAUUUGAGAGUUGCCAAGGAUAUCCGUGGAGAUUAUUUAGUUGUUGCACAUUCUUCUGAUAAUUGGUCAGAGUAAUUUUUUUCCCUUCUUUUCCAUUGUUAUAAUCCUUUCUGGCGAUUUCUUGUUCAUAUAUUUGCAGCAAAUAUUCAACUUAUGUAUAUAUAUAUCACCCUCCUCCAUUCACUUAAUUUGUGACUUUUUCUCACAUGGUUAAUGUAAAUCCUAAGCCCGACAACUUUGGGAAUUUUAUAUCAUGAAGAUGAUAAAAUUGAGAA